GAUGAAGAACGCAGCGAAAUGCGAUACUUGGUGUGAAUUGCAGAAUCCCGUGAACCAUCGAGUCCUUGAACGCAAGUUGCGCCCGAAGCCACUAGGCCGAGGGCACGCCUGCCUGGGCGUCACACGCCGUUGCCCCCCCAUCUACUCCUUCGGGAUUGCGGGGGGGCGGAUGAUGGCCUCCCGUGCGCCUAGCCGCGCGGUUGGCAUAAAUACCAAGUCCUCGGCGACGCACGCCACGACAAUCGGUGGUUGCGAAACCUCGGUUGCCCGUCGUGUGCGUUCGUCGCGCAUCGAGGGCUCGAAAAAAUGCUCGGCUCCGGCUGGGCUUUCAACGCGACCCCAGGUCAGGCGGGGUUACCCGCUGAAUUUAAGCAUAUCAAUAAGCGGAGGA
rnacentral:misc_RNA from 1 species